rnacentral:lncRNA from 1 species
GGCGGGUAGCCCGGUGGUUAGAGGAGGCGGGUAGCCCGGUGGUUAGAGGAGGCGGGUAGCCCGGUGGUUAGAGGAGGCGGGUAGCCCGGUGGUUAGAGGAGGCGGGUAGCCCGGUGGUUAGAGGAGGCGGGUAGCCCGGUGGUUAGAGGAGGAGGCAGGUAGCCUAGUGGUUAGAGGAGGAGGCAGGUAGCCCGGUGGUUAGAGGAGGCGGGUAGCCCAGUGGUUAGAGGAGGAGGCAGGUAGCCUAGUGGUUAGAGGAGGAGGCAGGUAGCCUAGUGGUUAGAGGAGGCAGGUAGCCUAGUGGGUAGAGGAGGCAGGUAGCCUGGUGGUUAGAGGAGGCAGGUAGCCUAGUGGUUAGAGGAGGCAGGUAGCCUGGUGGUUAGAGGAGGCAGGUAGCCUAGUGGUUAGAGGAGGCAGGUAGCCUAGUGGUUAGAGGAGGCAGGUAGCCUAGUGGUUAGAGGAGGCAGGUAGCCUAGUGGUUAGAGGAGGCAGGUAGCCUAGUGGUUAGAGGAGGCAGGUAGCCUAGUGGUUAGAGGAGGCAGGUAGCCUAGUGGUUAGAGGAGGCAGGUAGCCUAGUGGUUAGAGUGUUGGCCUAGUAACUGAAAGGUUGCUAGAUUGAAUCCCCGAGCUGACAAGGUAAAAAUCUGUCGUUCUGCCCCUGAACAAGGUAGGCCGUCAUUAUAAAUAAUAAUUAGUUCUUAACUGACUUGCCUGGUUAACUAAAAAAAAAUAGCUCUGGUUAAAAUGGGAUGCCUGCUAUUUGCACUGCAUUUCUCUGGUCAAAAGAAGGGCACUAUGGGGUGCCUGGCAAAUUCAUCAACACAACAACAACGGAUAAGAUCUUCUGGUUGCAUAUCACCCAGCUAGAGUUCUCCUGGCUAACGAGACUCCACAUGCAGAAAUAUCAGUGGAAUUUAUCGAACUUGAACGAACAUAUUCUCUCGUCAGGUAAAUAUGUUUCCUAGGCCUUUACGUUUGGUUGGAAUGGGUUUUUUAAAUGCCCAAGCCGGUUCACUUUCCUGUUAGUGACAUAUAGGCUAUACUGUAUUUAUUAGUUAUGCCUUUAUUUAUUUAUUUAUUAUUAUAUAUAUAUUUAUUUUAAAUAAACGAAGUCAUACUUAAAAGGGAGAGAUAUCGUGCGCUUUUUUUCUCAUUAUGUUGACAGUCACGCGGGCGUGUAAUAAAGGAACGCGGAGUUAACAUGCGCUGUUAAUUUUUCAUUGCUUUUUUUUUCGUUUAGGGGGCUCACCCACCCAAAAAACCGAGAGAGAGAGACGAGAGGGGUAGAGAGAGAGAGAGAGAGAGAGAACUUGUCAUAAGUACAAAAUAAAGGAAAUGGGAAAAAGGAAUGAAUGGAACUAAAACCAAAACAACAAUUCUGCCUUCGAUGAUGUUCACGUCAUAAACACAUUUUAAAGAAGCACCUCUCCUCUCCUCUCCUCCCCUCUCCUCUACUCUCCUUCUCCCUCCCUCUCUCCCCCUCUCCUCUCCUCUCCUCCCCUCUCCUCUCC